rnacentral:tRNA from 1 species
GGACUUUUAUUUUAAGAAAAAUUUCAGUUUGUAAAACUGAAGAUUACAUGUCUU